rnacentral:lncRNA from 1 species
CGGGAUCGUGAUGAGGAGGACGACGAACCAUUUAAAAAGAAUCAAAUAUUUGAAAAUUAGAGUUUGGAGUCGCCACCGUAGUUUAUUCUGGAAAACUACAUGGUCUACGAAAUAGAAAUUGUGGAUCCGGGAGUCGGUUACGCGUAGAAAAGGUAUUGGCACCCUACAACGUCUACUCGAAGACAGUACCUUUAAUUAAAC